rnacentral:rRNA from 1 species
GACGAACCGUCCAAACGUUGUUCGGAAUCACUGGGCUUAAAGGGCGCGUAGGCGGGCUGCCAAGUCCGGGGUGAAAUCCUCCAGCUUAACUGGAGAACUGCCUCGGAUACUGGAAGUCUCGAGGGGGGUAGGGGCAUGCGGAACCGUGGGUGGAGCGGUGAAAUGCGUUGAUAUCCAUGGGAACUCCGGUGGCGAAGGCGGCAUGCUGGACCUUUUCUGACGCUGAGGCGCGAAAGCCAGGGGAGCAAACGGG